rnacentral:lncRNA from 1 species
AUGAGUGCCAUAGGACAACUUAGAAGAAAUGAAGUGGCCUGAAGUGCCUGGGCCACCAAAUCUCCCAAAUGAGAGCAAAGGUGCACCUUAAUAUGUGUAACAUUUUUUGGAAAGAAAAGAAAAAACUAGAGGGAAGAAUGAAGAUUGGUAAGGCAGAGCAAAACAGGUCCGGGAAAGGCGCCCAGCCCAACCUUAACCAGGAAGUUAAAAAGUCAAGGAAGUUCUAAAUGGCGGGAUUCCCUGGGAACUGAGCAUGAGCCAUCGAGCGCCUGUAGUGUCCACUUCCUCCUCUUAAAAUGAUCACCAAAAAAGCCCUUCUUUAAUCAAAAGAAAAAAAUUGAACUUGAUAAAUUGUGUGCAAAGAGGAUCAAGGGACAGAGAAUUAAGCAAGGACAGCGGCAAUACAGACAAGUAGCAAAUGUGCUGUCUGGGGGAAGCUGCUGUCCACAAGCUACAGUCUGAGGAGUAUCGACAUCAGUGAUUAUUUUUUUCAACUUAUUCAACCUCUUUAUUUUUACCAGUGCCUCCUUAAGAAUAAAGAGUUGUCAAUACUGAUGUUUCACACAUAAUAAAACCAAGAAAAUCACAUACACACCCCUUUCAAAACUUCAAAUAAACAGUUCAAUGUUUGAUGC